GUGCUCCCUUGGCAGCACGUAAACUAAAAAAAGUUGGAAUGAUAUAGAGAAGAUUAGCAUGGCCUCUGCACAGGAUGACAUGCAAACUCAUGAGACGCUCCGCAUUUUU